GAUGAACGCUGGCGGCGUGCCUAAUACAUGCAAGUCGAGCGAACAGAUAAGGAGCUUGCUCCUUUGAAGUUAGCGGCGGACGGGUGAGUAACACGUGGGUAACCUACCUAUAAGACUGGGAUAACUUCGGGAAACCGGAGCUAAUACCGGAUAACAUUUAGAACCGCAUGGUUCUAAAGUGAAAGAUGGUUUUGCUAUCACUUAUAGAUGGACCCGCGUCGUAUUAGCUAGUUGGUAAGGUAACGGCUUACCAAGGCGACGAUACGUAGCCGACCUGAGAGGGUGAUCGGCCACACUGGGACUGAGACACGGUCCAGACUCCUACGGGAGGCAGCAGUAGGGAAUCUUCCGCAAUGGGCGAAAGCCUGACGGAGCAACGCCGCGUGAGUGAUGAAGGGUUUCGGCUCGUAAAACUCUGUUAUUAGGGAAGAACAAAUGUGUAAGUAACUGUGCACAUCUUGACGGUACCUAAUCAGAAAGCCACGGCUAACUACGUGCCAGCCGCCGCCGUAA
rnacentral:rRNA from 1 species